rnacentral:rRNA from 1 species
CCCUUAGAUGUUCUGGGCUGCACGCGCGCUACACUGAAGCGUUCAACGAGUAUUCACCUUGCCCGGGAGGGUUGGGUAAUCUUUUGAAAACGCUUCGUGAUGGGGAUAGAUUAUUGCAAUUAUUAAUCUUCAACGAGGAAUUCCUAGUAAGCGCGAGUCAUCAGCUCGUGCUGAUUACGUCCCUGCCCUUUGUACACACCGCCCGUCGCUCCUACCGAUUGGGUGCUCCGGUGAAUUGUUUGGACUGCUGUCAGUCUUUUAGGCUGUUGGCGAGAAGCUCUGUGAACCUUAGCACCUAGAGGAAGGAGAAGUCGUAACA